AUUUAAGUUUGCCUUCAUCCUUUGUUCCACGCGGUGUCGUUAUGUCUCUUUGGAUUUUGUUCUUGCUGCGGAUCCUGUUCUGUUUUGAAGAUGCCGUGUAAUCAGGAUUAUCCUGUCAUCCAGAACCUCGCCUGCAUAGAAUGCAUUCUGGAAGCCAGAGAUGUGCUUUGCGUGCCCUGACCCACAGCAUGCUGCCAGCUGUGUUGCUAAGCAAAGUUGAUGUCCCAUGUUCCCUCCUUCACCCGUUUCCCUGUAAAUAAGCCUUUAAUACCCCAGCUGUUCUCCAGUGCAGUGUUUUCCGCAUGUGGAUCAAGUCCGUCCGCAGAACUAUGACCGAAAGGAUCUCCAUAAAUAAGCUGCAGUCAAACUACAACUGAUGGGACACCAUAUAUUGGAUAUAGAACAUUAAACAUCUACAUUCA